UUUAUGUCAAAUUCGGCUUGAUUCUACUUAUGAUAUAAUUUUAUCGUUUAAAAGAGUGUACAUGUCAGUCGACUUGCCAGAAAAAGUUCUGUUUAAUACAGAUUAUUGUAUGUUUAUCGCUGAUGCUUGUUUCACUUGAGAAUUGCUGUGAUAUAAAUUGUUCGGUUAAUUAAGGCUAGAAUAAAAUGUUUUCAAGUGUCUUGGAAUAUUGGUAGCAUUUUAGAGUUGCUGUUAUUUACAGAUUCGACAUGGAAACGUUACACCCCUAAUACAUUGUGGGGAGAUAAUACCAGACAGAGUUAUAACGCAAAGUGAAAAUGCUACCAUAGUAUUUGUUACAAAUCAAGAAACAAAUCGACGUGGUUUUCAUCUCUAUUGGAAAGUAUUUACCGAACCGGUGCUAAUGGAAAGCCCUGUGUCAUGGGAGUUAGCCAAUGAAGAAUGUGAACAAAACGGUGGCAAUCUCAUGGAACCAGACUUGGAUUACGUAGACACAUAUAGAGAGAGCAUUAUUGAGUUGAUGGGGGCUCACAACAUAUCAGAAAUAUGGGUACGAAAAUACUUCACACCGUGGGUUUCCCUCAAAGGUUGUACACGUGAAACCCAUGUUCACCCGCAAAAGACGUACACAGUAAAGAACAAUCAGCAAAAGAUUUGCCAAAACUUGUGUUCUAAUUACAAUUACUUUGGCCUGAGGGGACGCAAUUGUGUGUGUUUGAAUGACGUCGCUUCGUCCUAUGUCGUUGUUUCGGCCUCUGCUUCCUGUGAAAUCAAUUGCAAAGGCAACACUGAAGAAUUAUGUGGUGGGAAUUAUGCGUAUACUGUG